GAUCCAGCGGAGGAACUCGAAACUGCAUAUGCUUCGGAUUUCUUCUCCGCUCUCUCCUCUCUCAGGGAUGCAGAACACAACUCAGCAGGAGUGCGAGAAACUGUGCAGGAAGCCGGAGAAGAAAACGAAUGUGCAGAAGCGACCGAGGGAAAGAAAACAGGGUGAGCCGUGUGGGGUGGAUUCGAUUCUUUCUCAAGUCGUUUCGCGGAAGACUUCGCUGUGAAAUGCUCAAAACAAAUCUGAAAAAACGUCUCUGCAUCCGCCGCGCGCAUGGCAAGAACCAACAACUCUGAUCCCUCACCGCGUUCUACAGGUUCGCCCUGUUCUGCUCUUUCCUUGCAUGCCUUCGCUGUGUCUCUGUCCAUCAGGUCUGAUUCUCUUCUCUCCUCGCUAUCUGUUGCUUGUCUGAGUACUUCUUUGGCGCCUCCUUCUGCAUGUUCGCUCCGUUUCUCUCCACGGUCUUCGGCCAUCUCCCUCCUCGUUUCCUGAGCGCCUCUGUCGGACGACAGGAACGCCGUAGCCUCAGGGGGGUCAUGCACGGCGCCAGAGUCCUGCCAGACCGCCUGCGUCGAGAGUCCUACGAGAGCAGAAAACUUGGAAGCCGACCUCUUCGUGAGCAUCACUUCGACCAAUUCGACGCCUUCCACUCGUUCACCUUCGCCUCGCGUCUCUCCCUUUCUCUCGGCCUUCCGGCUACUCCGCCUGCUUCCAUCUUCCUCUCUUCCUGCGCCUCCACCCGGCGCGCGCGCCCCCCCUGCAUGCAUCCGCGCGUCGGGGAAGAGAACAGCAGCGAGGGGAGAAGAGCGACGAGAGGGAAGCGCGGGCGAGAGAUCUGAAUGGGCAGCAAACGAUUCGACAGCCAAGGGCGCCUGCUGGCACAGACGCGAAGGAAAGGCAACGUAGACGACCUCGCGCUCGUGGAACGUAACUUCAGUCAUGUUCGCGCUGUCUGGGAAGGCGCAGGCGAUCGUCCAGGCCAGCUGAGGAGACACUGCGCAAAGGACCGCUUCGUCUCGCACUGCGGCCGUGAAGUCGUCUGUGAGGUCUGCCUUCGACGCCGCGCGCUUCUCGACGUUGAGAAACCAGCAGGGAAACAUCGAGGACUUGCCACCAGCGGGCGGCGGAGACGCGCAGGAGGCGACAUCGGAAGAAGAAGAAGCAGCCGACGAGGAAGGAGACGAUGCGCGAACAUGAGGAGAAGACGAAGCGUAGGGAGGAGGUAUAGGCGACAAUGGAGAGGGCAAAGAUCCGAGAACAGAUGUCUCGUUGACACAAUACCCCAACAGAGGAACGGAGAGAAGAACAACAUGUCUGAAACUUCUCCCCUGAGUCUCGUCCUCUGCAUGGGCAGACAUGCUCACAUCCCGGCGCGUGGAAGAGGCCUGUCGAGAAGAAUCCGUGAGGGAAGACACCAACCGCUGAGCAACCGAAUGUAACGGAGAGGACAGAGCGUCCGCAGGAGCAGAGCCUGUGGAGACUAUGGCACUCUUCUUCAUGAGGCUGUCAGGGCAGACGGUUGUGUCUCCUGAAACAUCACGGCGUUGAUCUCUCUGCCCGCUCCACGAUUCGUUUCGAGAUGACUGAGAGACCGGCGCUUCCUGCGGAGGCGGUCGCGCGGCCCAGGCAUUCGCGUGAGAGCUCUGGGGACUCGCGUCUCGGCUUCCAUGGAGCCUUCCACUGGGCGUGGAGUCUGGACGCAGGCAUGUCGAUGAAGGAGACACUGAGGGAGAAAAGAAAGCGACAGAAGCGGAAGAAGAAACAGAGGAAGGACAGCCAGGUGGAGACGCCGCUCCAGCAGAAGACGGCGAAUCAAGAGCCUUUGUUGAAGUUGCUUCUUCACGCUGAGGACUCGGAGACGAAGCCAGGCAAGAUUGCGUCUCGGGUGCCUCUUGCACCGACUCUGCCAGGUCUCGCCCCGGACUCGGCGCUCCUGCACUCGCUUGGACGGGGAGUUCCAGAGUUCGUUCAGCUUUCUGCACAUCUCCGAAGGACUCUGAGUUCUCUCGAGGUCUUCCACUGCAGGCCGUCGUCGGUUCUUCGCGGAUCUGGCUGGCAACAGAGCCACUGCUCUUCGGGGGAGAGGGCGGCGCCUCCUCGCGCUCUGCGUCGUCCUCAUCGCCGACGCCGUGGGCGAGAGCCUGUUGGCGCGCCAAGGCCUCGAGGCUCUCCAGCGACGUAUGCAGAGAGAUUUUGAAGGAAGCCGCGAGGUACUCCCAACAGGGCCUCUCGUUCUCAGUCGAAAUCGAAACGCAGAAGCCGUUCCCUCCGAAACGCCCUGCGCGCCCGCUCCGAUGAAGAAAUGUUUGCGAGUCCUGAAACAGAAGGCAACGGGGCACGGCGAUGAUCGGACGAAAACAGAGACGACGAGGCUGGCAAGACGAACGGCCAUCUGGGGAGAGUGAGAAGAAGAAGCGAGGGAAGUGCAGAGACAGUUGCGCAGACGCCGAGAGAAAGGAAGGAUGAAAGGUGCAACAAGAGAGAAGUUGAAAAAACUGAAGACAGAGAAGAGACAGAAGAAGAGAAGCAAACGAAAGGCAGGAGACGAGAAGCGAAGAAAAAAAAGACACCCCGAAGCAGACGAGAGGCAGACCAGACGCAGACGAAGGAGAAAAGCCUGCGAAUAAGCGAGGAAGCAGAAAAUCUUUCACCAAUCACAGUUUGUCAGAGGGUCUGCUGGAAACGUCUUCCAGAGUCUGAACGGCUCGCCUCUGCAGCUCGGCUACGCAGGCAAGACAAAAUGUGAGACCAGGAGGCUCGCAUGUCCGUGCUGGCGUUAGUAAACCGCUGUGAGGAAGAAUGCAGAAACGCUCGCGUUCCAGCUCACAGAUGAAAGCGUUGAUAUCCUCAAAUGAAGGCGGGGUACACUUUAUCUGGACGCAUGGACUCACAUGCCCUUGUGUCUGUGUGUAUAUGUGUAUAUGUGCAUAUCAUGAAUAUCGGUACUUGGAAAGACACUCGGUCCACGUUGUAAAGCAUCUGGAGCUUUGAGCGCGAGAGCUUCCCGAAGUUCUCUGCUGUCGUAGACAGCCGUUUGUCUAAGGAGAAUAGAUAAGCCUCGUCAACCAUAGUCUGCUCUUCAACUCCCUUGUCGAUCGUCCUUCUCUAUGUCGUUUUUUUCUCUCCGCGUCUCGGCGCGCAGGAUCUCACCAUCGGCAGGUCCACAUUGACCGUCAAGUCAACGCCCGCCGCGUCGAUGCCGCGACUGAUCUGAGAAAAAACAAAACAAAAAAAGGCGCACCCACAGUGGUUAGGCGCCUUUGGCUGCGCACCGAGGUGACAUGAAAAAGCGGCGUCUCUCCGCGGGAAGGAAGCAUGCACUGUCACACAUGCAUCAAAACUGGCAAACAAUCCUUG
rnacentral:lncRNA from 1 species